GAUGAACGCUGGCGGCGUGCCUAAUACAUGCAAGUCGAGCGAACAGAUGAGGUGCUUGCUCCUCUGACGUUAGCGGCGGACGGGUGAGUAACACGUGGAUAACCUACCUCUCAGACUGGGAUAACUUCGGGAAACCGGAGCUAAUACCGGAUAAUAUAUUGAACCGCAUGGUUCAAUAGUGAAAGACGGUUUUGCUGUCACUUAUAGAUGGAUCCGCGCCGCAUUAGCUAGUUGGUAAGGUAACGGCGUACCAAGGCAACGAUGCGUAGCCGACCUGAGAGGGGGAUCGACGGCACUGGAACGGAGGCGAGGCCCAGACGCCUACGGGGGGAGGCAGCAGGGAAGCUUACGCAGAGGGCGAAAGCAGGAUGGAGCAACGCCGCGGGAGGGAUGAUGGUGUUCGGAGCGUAAAACUCUGUUAUUAGGGAAGAAGAAAUGUGUAAGUAACUAUGCACGUCUUGACGGUACCUAGUCAGAAAGCCACGGCUAACUACGUG
rnacentral:rRNA from 1 species